rnacentral:rRNA from 1 species
AAGGAUUAAUAAAAUAAAUUAAUAAUAUAUUAAUAUAAAUCAUGUACUGUAGAGGAAAUAAUAAGUUAUAUAAUAGUAAUUAUUUGUAUCUUUUGCAUAAGCGUUAAAUUAUAAUAAAUUAUAAUUGUUAAUAACCCGAAAAUAAAAGAGCUAACUAUAUUUUCUUUUUAGAAUACAUAAUUUAUGUGGCAACAUAAAUGUAAUAAAUUAUAGUUAGAAAUGAAAAAUUAUUCAAUUUUAUGGAUAUCUGGAAAAUGAAGAAAAGCAUUUAGUGCUAUUAAAAUAUAUUUAAAUUAUUUUUUAAGUGAUUAGAUUUAAAAAUUAAAGAAAUUUUUAAUUUAUUAUAUACUUUGGAAUAAUUUUCAAUUUUAAUUUAUAUAAUUAAAUUUUUUAAUAUAAAUUUCUUUUAUAUAUUCAUUAUAAUUUAAGAUUCAUUUUAAAUUAUUAUAAUGUUUAAAUUAGUAUUAAAUUAUAUUUAAUUAAUUUUUAUUUUUAACAAUAUAAAAAGAAUUCGGCAAAUAUUCUUUUCAACUGUUUAACAAAAACAUAGUCUUAAGAAAAUAUUUAAGAUAUUGUCUGCUCAAUGUAUAUUAAUAUAAAUUGCCGCAGUACUCUGACUGUGCAAAGGUAGCAUAAUAAUUUGUCCUUUAAUUAAGGUCUUGAAUGAAUGGCUUUAUGGAAAGAAACUGUUUCUUAUAUUUUUUAUAAAACUUACUUUUUAAGUGAAAAAGCUUAAAUAACCUUGGAGGACGAGAAGACCCUAUGAAUUGAUAAUAAAAUCAUUUAAUAUUUUUAUUUCUUUGUUGGGGCAACAAGAAAACAAAAAACUUUUCUUUUUAUAAUAAAUUAAUAAAACAGAUUUUACAAAAAAGAAACAAUUACCAUAGGGAUAACAGCAUAAUUUUGAAAAAAGUUUGUGACCUCGAUGUUGGACUAGGAAUUAUAUGGAUUAAAAGUUCAUACGUAACCC